GUGCUGUUGUUCUGAUAAUACCUGCAAGAAGGCUAAAUGAAAUUUCAAGCCUUGUGCGUAAAGAAGCAUGAUUAUUCCAACAUGGUAGAAGGUUUGGAAGGUUUAACAACACUUCAAACAACGAAGGCCCUUUCGGAAAAGGGGGUAAGUUUUUACAGAAAUUAAAGGAAUAAAGCUCUGGUCAAACAAGGGUGAGAGUUGAUGAGAGUUGAGAAGCGAGAGUUUGCAUGAGAGUUUUCUUAACUCUCGUGCCCCAGUCAAACGAGAACAAGACAAUGCCAGCAUUAAAAUAAGCGUGUUUUUGACACACUUUGUGUCCUUGUAAAAGGGAAAUGUGUCCUUGUAAAUUGAAAAGUGUGUACUUGGGACAGUGUAUACUUUGUCUUGGGAAUAAAGCCCAGAAAAUCCUUUCCCAGUCAUUUCCCACAGCAAUAUUGUUGUAAUCGUGUGUUUAUUGCCUGAUGAUAGCCAGAUAUAUAUUUCUGGUUUAUAUAUUUCUGUUUUUUCUGUUUAUAACAUGUCAAGAAACGCCUGUAAAAUUACCAACGGCUUCACGUUUUUCCUAUAGGCGCGGUUCCAUGAUAAUGGCAAUAUCCGCAGAAAUCAUUUUACAACAAGAAAAUAUUUCUUUAAAAAAGAAAUAAUGUUUCGUUCCAAUAUAAUUAUAGAAAUACCAGACGUCUGUAAUUAGCGGUUGUGACCAUAGAUCACUUGUAUAUGUCGAGCAAUGAAAUUGGUUCAUUUUGUGAGGCGGGCGGG